UACGGAGGGUGCAAGCGUUGUUCGAAAUUACUGGGCUUAAAGCGCGUGUAGGCGGGAUAGCAAGUGUCGGGUGAAAUCCCUCGGCUCAACCGGGGAACUGCUUGGCAAACUGCUGUUCUUGAGGCAGGUAGAGGUGACUGGAACGACUGGUGGAGCGGUGAAAUGCGUAGAUAUCAGUUGGAACGCCGGAGGCAAAAGCGGGUCACUGGGCCUGUCCUGACGCUAAGACGCGAAAGCGUGGGGAGCGAACAGGAUUAGAUACCCUGGUAGUCCACGCCGUAAACGAUGCGCACUAGGUAUGAGAGGGUCUGACCCCGAUCGUGCCGCAAAGAAAUCGAUAAGUGCGCCGCCUGGGGAGUACGGCCGCAAGGCUAAA
rnacentral:rRNA from 1 species